rnacentral:rRNA from 1 species
CCCUUUAGACGGGACAACAUCCGAAAGGGAUGCUAAUACCGGAUGUGACGCUCCUAUCGCAUGACGGGAGCGUGAAAGAUGGCCUCUACAUGUAAGCUAUCACUAAAGGAUGGGCCUGCGUCUGAUUAGCUAGUUGGUAGUGUAACGGACAACCAAGGCGAUGAUCAGUAGCCGGUCUGAGAGGAUGAACGGCCACAUUGGGACUGAGACACGGCCCAG